AUUGAACGCUGGCGGCAGGCCUAACACAUGCAAGUCGAACGGUAACAGGAAACCGCUUGCUGUCUCGCUGACGAGGGGCGGGCGGGUGAGUAAUGUGUGCGCAACUGCCUGAUGGAGGGGGACAACUACUGGAAACGGAAGCCAUAACCGCUAAACGUCGCAAGAGCAAAGAGGGGGACCUUCCGGCCGCUUGCCAUCCGAUGUGCCGAGGUGGGAUUAGGUAGUUGGUGGGGUAACGGCUCACCUAGCCGACGAUCUCUAGCUGGUAUGAGAGGAUGAACAGCCACACUGGAACUGAGACACGGCCCAGACUCCUACGGGAGGCAGCAGUGGGGAAUGUUGCACAAUGGGCGAAAGCCUGAUGCAGCCAUGCCGCGUGUAUGAAGAAGGCCUUCGGGUUGUAAAGUACUUUUAGCGGGGAGGAAGGGAGUAAAGUUAAUACCUGUGCUCAUUGACGGUACCCACAGAAGAAGCACCGGCUAACUCCGUG
rnacentral:rRNA from 1 species